CCGACCUUAGCUCAGUUGGAAGAGCGCGAGACUGUAAUUGGAAAAAUGCCAUCUUGAGGUCGCCUGUUCGAGCCAGGCAGGUCGGA
rnacentral:tRNA from 1 species